GUGUCAGCAGCCGCGGUAAGACGGAGGGGGCAAGCGUUGUCCGGACUCACUGGGCGUAAAGGGUCCGUAGGCGGUUCUGUGCGUCGGUGCUGAAAGCGCCCGGCUUAACCGGGCGAGGCGUGCCGAUACGACGGAACUCGAGGCAGGCAGAGGAUGGCGGAAUUCCGGGUGUAGUGGUGAAAUGCGUAGAGAUCCGGAGGAACGCCUGUGGCGCAAGCGGCCAUCUGGGCCUGACCUGACGCUGAGGGACGAAAGCGUGGGGAGCGAACCGGAUUAGAUACCCCUGUAGUCC
rnacentral:rRNA from 1 species